rnacentral:rRNA from 1 species
UGAACGCUGGCGGCGUGCCUAAUACAUGCAAGUCGAGCGACCGGACGAGAAGCUUGCUUCUCUGAUGUUAGCGGCGGACGGGUGAGUAACACGUGGAUAACCUACCUAUAAGACUGGGAUAACUUCGGGAAACCGGAGCUAAUACCGGAUAAUAUUUUGAACCGCAUGGUUCAAAAGUGAAAGACGGUCUUGCUGUCACUUAUAGAUGGAUCCGCGCUGCAUUAGCUAGUUGGUAAGGUAACGGCUUACCAAGGCAACGAUGCAUAGCCGACCUGAGAGGGUGAUCGGCCACACUGGAACUGAGACACGGUCCAGACUCCUACGGGAGGCAGCAGUAGGGAAUCUUCCGCAAUGGGCGAAAGCCUGACGGAGCAACGCCGCGUGAGUGAUGAAGGUCUUCGGAUCGUAAACCUCUGUUAUUAGGGAAGAACAUAUGUGUAAGUAACUGUGCACAUCUUGACGGUACCUAAUCAGAAAGCCACGGCUAACUACGUG